rnacentral:rRNA from 1 species
GAUGAACGCUGGCGGCGUGCCUAAUACAUGCAAGUCGAGCGAACGGACGAGAAGCUUGCUGCUCUGAUGUUAGCGGCGGACGGGUGAGUAACACGUGGAUAACCUACCUAUAAGACUGGGAUAACUUCGGGAAACCGGAGAUAACACCGGAUAAUAUUUUGAACCGCAUGGUUCAAAGGUGAAAGACGGUCUUGCUGUCACUUAUAGAGGGAUCCGGGCUGCAUUAGCUAGUUGGUAAGGUAAAGGCUUAUCAAGGCAACGAUGCAUAGCCGACCUGAGGGGGUGAUCGGCCACACUGGAGCUGAGACACGGUCCAGACUCCUACGGGACGCAGCAGUAGGGUAUCUUCCGCAAUAGGCGGAGGCCUGGCGGGACAACGCCGCGUGAGUGAUGAAGGUCUUCGGUUCGUAAAACUCUGUUAUUAGGGAAGAACAUAUGUGUAAGUAACUGUGCACAGCUUGACGGUACCUAAUCAGAAAGCCACGGCUAACUACGUG